GAUGAACGCUGGCGGCGUGCCUAACACAUGCAAGUCGAACGAAGCAAUUUAACGGAAGUUUUCGGAUGGAAGUUGAAUUGACUGAGUGGCGGACGGGUGAGUAACGCGUGGGUAACCUGCCUUGUACUGGGGGACAACAGUUAGAAAUGACUGCUAAUACCGCAUAAGCGCACAGUAUCGCAUGAUACAGUGUGAAAAACUCCGGUGGUACAAGAUGGACCCGCGUCUGAUUAGCUAGUUGGUAAGGUAACGGCUUACCAAGGCGACGAUCAGUAGCCGACCUGAGAGGGUGACCGGCCACAUUGGGACUGAGACACGGCCCAAACUCCUACGGGAGGCAGCAGUGGGGAAUAUUGCACAAUGGGCGAAAGCCUGAUGCAGCGACGCCGCGUGAGUGAAGAAGUAUUUCGGUAUGUAAAGCUCUAUCAGCAGGGAAGAAAAUGACGGUACCUGACUAAGAAGCCCCGGCUAACUACGUGCCAGCAGCCGCGGUAAUACGUAGGGGGCAAGCGUUAUCCGGAUUUACUGGGUGUAAAGGGAGCGUAGACGGUAAAGCAAGUCUGAAGUGAAAGCCCGCGGCUCAACUGCGGGACUGCUUUGGAAACUGUUUAACUGGAGUGUCGGAGAGGUAAGUGGAAUUCCUAGUGUAGCGGUGAAAUGCGUANAUAUUANNAGGAACACCAGUGGCGAAGGCGACUUACUGGACGAUAACUGACGUUGANGCUCGAAAGCGUGGGGAGCAAACAGGANUAGAUACCCUNNNANUCCACGCCGUAAACGAUGAAUACUAGGUGUUGGGGAGCAANNCUCUUCGGUGCCGUCGCAAACGCAUUAAGUAUUCCACCUGGGGAGUACGUUCGCAAGAAUGAACUCAAAGGGAAUUGACCGGGACCCGCACAAGCGGUGGGACAAUGUGGUUUAAUUCGAAACCACGCAGAGUAACCUUACCAGUCCUAGACUCGAUCCGACGGGGAGUACGGUC
rnacentral:rRNA from 1 species